AAUUGAGGGAACAUUGCCUCACUGACAGCCAGGCGAGUGCAGAGUGAAAGGCUCCUGCACUGACUGUCUCCCUGCACUGCUCCCUGCACUGCUCCACUGCUGGAAUAAACAGAUGGGGCUCUGCGAGGACAUCUUCCAAAGCAGGGCAGCCCUGACCCAGCGGCACACAGGCCCUGUAACUUUCGGCACGUGUGAGUGAGCUUCGCCUCCGCUGUGCUACACGAUAAGCCGCUAAUAACAAGGCCAGGAGCCCUGCCCAGGGCCCCCGAGCCCUCUGAUGAGCUCUGGCACCGGCCUUAGCAGGCAUCUGCUCCAUCUCUACUCUGUGUGGUUUGCGUCCCUGCAAAGCCCUCUGGGUAGCCUGAGGAAGUGCUCCCCAUAGAGCAGCCACUCCUUGGGGUGAGCAGCCAGCGCCGGGCCUGCAUCUGUCCUGACACUCCUGGCAGUGUGUGCUCACCCACCCUCUGUGCAGCUGGGAGAAAGAAAGCAGCCAGCAAAUUGGUCCGGGCCGUUUGCUGCCGGAGCGGCAGGAAAGCCCAGCUCUCCCUGGAGUGGAGGCAUCCGAACAUUCCGCAGCAGAUUCCUGUGAGGCUGCGGAACCAUGAGGGCAACUGGAGCAGGGAGCCCAGAGCCUGCCUGGCUAGCUCCAGCUGAUAGCAUCGAUCUCAGAGGUGCUGAUCUCCCGACUGCCGCCUCCGAGGAAAAGGCAGGAGGUGGCCCAGGGCUGGCUCUGAUGCACCUCCCAUGGGCCCCACGCAGGUCCACCCGCCCCACCCCAACAGCCUCAAAACGAAAACCCAAGAAGCAAGACUGAGCAGAACAGAUGGGCUCAGCCGCCCGGCCGGCACCACUCUGGUGUGCCAUUGGCCCUGGGACGAGGGGCUCGGAGGAGGCUGCAGAGGUGUUUACUCUGUUUCUUCCCAGAGUCAGCUCUGAUGGAACCAGAACCACCACAACCGGAAGAGAGAGGGAGGGCAGGAGGAUGCUCGGAGGGCCACCCCAUGCCUUCCGCGGAGUCUGGCAGGCUCACACCCUGCAGCUGGCUCCGGGGUGGCAGAGCUGUGGAGAGCUGUUGGGAUUCAGGUAGUGUGGCGAUGCCCAUGGUGACACCCCAAGGAAACGCAGGGCUUCCUUUCUGUGACUGGAGACCCCACUGCUCAUCUCUGGAGAUGAAAAGAGAAACUAUUCUGAGUGAUUUAUUGCUAAGUAUAUCCAAGAGAAGAGAAAGAUGAAAAAAAUAAAAAUUAAGGGUGAGAGGAAAAUCCCAUGAAUGUAUUUCUAUAGCUUUAGACCAUUCUGGAAAUUGUCACACCUCAGAUUUACUGCUAAUUACCCUGCUCUCCUAGGUCUGUUGAAAAGGAUGUGGGAAGUUGAGGAAACAUAAUUUGGGCUCAUUAUUCAGUGCAAACACGCAUGGUGUGCUUCUUGCUCAAGGGAGGGGGCCGCUUCCAGGGUGUCUAUCAGAUCUUCCGUAACUAUCAGAAAAGGUUGGGGAGUAGUAGGUGCUCAAUGAACGCUAUGUGGGGAAAGCGCCGAUAACCACCCGGCUGUGUGGCUUCCAUCUCUAGAGGCUGGCAGGCCACUCAUGUCCCUUCCGACCUUGACCUUUUUGUGCUCAAGUGAGAAUUCUGGUUUUCCAAGGUUAGAGCGGCCCUAGUAACCUUGCUAAGAAAUCAGCAGAGCAGGCAAACCCCACCUACCCAAAUUCUUGGACAUUUCUUUUUUAAUUUGGUCUGAAUUUGUUUCUUUGCUAGGAAUGAUUUUAAAUGAUUCUCCUUCAAUUGUCCCUCCUGUCCGGGAAGCAGCACUGGCUGCAUGCAGGGAGGAAAACAUUGCCCACGCCCCUGGUGUGAUCUAUGCCAUUAUUAAAAGUACUAUCGUGCAUAUGAUCUCAGGAGUGGGGCGAAGUGGGGGGCAGAUAAAUCCUCUCCUAAGAAGAGAGACGUCUGACAUCAUGAAACCUAGUCCUUCAGGAUACUUAUUCUUGAGUCCUCCAGCAAGUUCCCUCACAUGAAAGAACAGAUUCCCAGGAAAUACUGUUUGAAAUCACAUGUAGAUUAAAAGAGCCACAGCUCUGCAUAUUGGGAAUUUAAUUUUCAUUAUUGCAUUCAUUAUAUGAUUUAAGUGAGAUUACAGUGUAACAUACACCGUACCUUGUGAUUAAAUAAC
ensembl:lncRNA